UACGUAGGGUGCGAGCGUUGUCCGGAAUUACUGGGCGUAAAGAGCUCGUAGGUGGUUUGUCGCGUUGUUCGUGAAAACUCACAACUCAAUUGUGGGCGUGCGGGCGAUACGGGCAGACUGGAGUACUGCAGGGGAGACUGGAAUUCCUGGUGUAGCGGUGGAAUGCGCAGAUAUCAGGAGGAACACCGGUGGCGAAGGCGGGUCUCUGGGCAGUAACUGACGCUGAGGCGCGAAAGCCAGGGGAGCGAACAGG
rnacentral:rRNA from 1 species